GCCAUAUCAUGUUGAAACACCAUUUCUGGUAUGAUCACAAAAGUUAAGCAUGUCAAGCAGGGUUAGUACCUAGAUGGGUGACCACCUGGGAAUACUAGGUGCUGUAAG